rnacentral:rRNA from 1 species
GGAGGGUGCAAGCGUUAAUCGGAAUUACUGGGCGUAAAGCGCACGCAGGCGGUCUGUCAAGUCGGAUGUGAAAUCCCCGGGCUUAGCCUGGGAACUGCAUUCGAAACUGGCAGGCUGGAGUCUUGUAGAGGGGGGUAGAAUUCCAGGUGUAGCGGUGAAAUGCGUAGAGAUCUGGAGGAAUACCGGUGGCGAAGGCGGCCCCCUGGACAAAGACUGACGCUCAGGUGCGAAAGCGUGGGGAGCAAACAGGAUUAGAUACCCUGGUAGUCCACGCCGUAAACGAUGUCGACUUGGAGGUUGUUCCCUUGAGGAGUGGCUUCCGGAGCUAACGCGUUAAGUCGACCGCCUGGGGAGUACGGCCGCAAGGUUAAAACUCAAAUGAAUUGACGGGGGCCCGCACAAGCGGUGGAGCAUGUGGUUUAAUUCGAUGCAACGCGAAGAACCUUACCUACUCUUGACAUCCAGAGAACUUAGCAGAGAUGCUUUGGUGCCUUCGGGAACUCUGAGACAGGUGC